AAAACGUGCAAACUCUCUUUAAUGGGGUGUAGUUAAAGGGUCUCUCCAGUGCCAGCACUGCAGGUCCCCUCUCCCUCCCACCCCCCAUUCCAGGUUGCUGAAGGGGUGAAAACCCGUUCAGUGACUUACCAGUGGCAGUGACGAUGUCCCACACUGCUUCUUGGUCCGCCCAUGCUCCUCCCCGUCACCACGUCAGCCGGCCGGGGAGACUGAUCACGCCCGCCGGUGGGGGAGACCUAAUGCGCAUGCGCGGCAAUGCCGCGUACGCGCAUUUGACCUCCCCAUAGG